CCACUAAUGUUGAAUGCAUAAUUAAAAUAGAUUUUAAAUAUCACUGAUAUUUAUAGACCUAUAGUGUCUAAUAAACAUAUUUACUAAACUGCUCAAAUUCAAGAGAAUCUGGGCUCCAAGAACUCUGAAUAGUUUUCCCUGUUAAUAUUCUUGAUUCAUUAUUUCAUUCUUAGAGUGUGUUUUGUGUUGAGAUACAGCUGUCUUCACAUACCACUGUGUUUCAUGACUCUGCAAUAAUUUGUUCCUGGUUUAAAUGUUAAACCUUACAGGCUGUUCCUAUCUCCCCACAAACACAUCCAGCCCUAAAGUGCCAGGGUAGUUUACGACUUGCUUUCCUUCUGUAUCACAGCAGAGCAGCAAAUGUUAGAAGCUUUCACUGGCAGGCAGUAUGUCUUGACUAAUGAUUAAUGAGUAACAAGUUCCUACGUAAGUCUCAGGUAUAUUGCUGCUGGAUCCCUGGGGCAGCUUCACUGUCACUGAUCCCAUUAGGAACACCUUCCCUGGGUUCUUACUCCACAGUUUCCCCAGUCUGUGUCCUGGCUCUGCAGCCUGGAGUCUGUAACUCUCCAGCCCUGGCUGAAGUGCCAGGGAGAGGAGAGAUUUGGGGUUCACAGCGGAGGUGAGGGCACACAGAGAUCCCUUGUACCACUGCCAGGGUUGUUCCACCUCAUUAUGGGGUCAGCUGCAAGCCUGGAGUCCUGCAAUAAUAGGUUCUGUUUAGCUGAGGUCCUUUGUGCCCCAGCAGUCCCACUGGAGCCUCACCUACAAUUCAAGACAUUUAAGCCACAAGGUUUAAAGAUUUGGGUUUAAGUGCAAGACCUCAAAUGCUUGAGCUUCCAGAUGAUAAACUGAUGAGAGCUUAAUUGUUACAACUGGUUCAAAGAUGACACCAAGAGGUGUGAUACAGGUAUCCACUGUAUAGGAAAAUCACAUUUCAGGCCUCACAGUAUUUACUUCUCCCAUAAACAGCAGAGGGGACUUUGCCAGAUUCACUCUGAAUUACAAUGCACUAACUUUCUCUCAUGAGGGGAUACUUUAUGAAGUUCUUCACUGUUCAGUAGUGUCAAUAGUUGCUUUGUUGCUUCAUGUGAAGGCAUUCCCAGGGGAGGAAAAUAACAAGCUUCUUCCCAGUAGGUUUGCCAAUUUCUAACACUUCCAGUUUGUAGUGCUUUAUAGCAAUCCUUACAACUCUUUCUUCAAGAUUUUAGGAAGAGCUGCCCUGGACCUGUGUGAUUUUUUGCCUAAGUACCACACAUCUGGAUCUGUGAGCUAUGAACCAAAAGCCUACUGUACACUUGGAACCUGUAGCUUUCCCUGCUUUAAGUGCUGACAGCUGCAAGACUCUUUUGCUGUAGUGUUGGAGGUUAAAUACACAUCAGCUGGUGCUUGCCAUGGGCUAGAAACCUGCAGGGCUGUCAUACCCUGGACAUAAAUAAGAAAAAACUUUAGUUUUUCUUAUUUAUGCUACAAGUCUAGUUCUAAGGGAGCAAGGACUGUGAUCUACCAAAACAACCUUUCCUAAAUGUACUUGCCCAAUAUCCUGCCUGCCGCUAUUCUGUGCAAAUUCAUUCUCAGAAUACCUCUCUGAAAUUAAUUUUUAUAUGCCUUGUGUUAGCUAAAUUGCAAUAAAAAUUGUACUUUACCUCAGCAUGAUUUUGAUUCUUUUUAAAUCCUCAAAGCAUUCCUCUGCUAAUGUCUUUGCACAAAGUGGUUUUACCCUUGUGCAGCAUAUGGUAUCCUUUUCUCUUUAAGAGGGAAGGUGCCAAGUUGAGGCAACUCUAAAAGUAGCCAUUCCAGUCUUCUGAAAAGUGCUCUUUCCCUGUGUGACAGCCAACAGUAUUCCUCAUUUUAGGCAUACUUUGAUUCUGUGACUGCCCUGAACUGCUCCAGCUCCUCUCAUUCAAUCCUUUGCAGCUGCAGAUCUGUCCUGCUGCCUCCUCAUUACCAGUGACGAGUUCCACUAAUUAUUUCCCCUUGCUUCUGUUCCACUGGCAGAUUCCAGAAUGUAAGUAAGGGGUCCUUCCCUACCCUGGGCCUGCCACAGCUGUGAGCAGCUCUGUUUAGCUCAGAUGUGAGGAAUUCUCCUGGACCUGCUCCUUAAUUUUGGCAGAAUGGAGAUACUCAUUUGGCAUGCUCAUACCUCUUUAACCCCAUGAACCUGGAUGAUGAUUUCCCCUUCUGCAGUGAAAUAGGAGAAUCUGCCUGGCUGGAACUGAAGGGGACUGAAGCAAGAGGUGUUCUGAACAUGGCAGCUCAGCUCAACUGAAGCAAAGAAAUUCACAGAAGUCCAUUUGCCUGGUAAAGCUGCAGUGGGGACAAUUAGUGUCUCACAGCAAUUACAAUUAUAGGAAUUGGUUCUACAAACUUGGUGCUCUGUCUACUUUAUGCUUGCAUUUGAACAGUGCUAAUAUAUGACAGAGAAUAAUUCUGUAUGUAUUAAAUGCAGACUGAUGUUUUC